UACGAAGGGGGCUAGCGUUGCUCGGAAUUACUGGGCGUAAAGGGCGCGUAGGCGGAUAUCUAAGUUGGGGGUGAAAGCCCGGGGGCUCAACCUCGGAAUAGCCUUCAAUACUGGAUAUCUUGAGUUCGGGAGAGGUGAGUGGAACUCCGAGUGUAGAGGUGAAAUUCGUAGAUAUUCGGAAGAACACCAGUGGCGAAGGCGACUCACUGGCCCGAUACUGACGCUGAGG
rnacentral:rRNA from 1 species